rnacentral:rRNA from 1 species
CCUACGGGUGGCAGCAGUGAGGAAUAUUGGUCAAUGGACGCAAGUCUGAACCAGCCAAGUAGCGUGCAGGAUGACGGCCCUCCGGGUUGUAAACUGCUUUUAGUUGGGAAUAAAAGGGGGCUCGUGAGCUCCGUAUUGUAUGUACCAUCAGAAAAGAACCGGCUAAUUCCGUGCCAGCAGCCGCGGUAUUCCGGAAGGUCCGGGCGUUAUCCGGAUUUAUUGGGUUUAAAGGGAGCGUAGGCGGGCUUUUAGGUCAGAUGUGAAAGUCCGCGGCUUAACCGGGGAAUUGCAGUUGAAACUGGAGACCUUGAGUGCACACGGGGAUGGCGGAAUGCAUGGUGUAGCGGUGAAAUGCUUAGAUAUCAUGAAGAACUCCGAUCGCGAAGGCAAGUGUCCGGGGUGCAACUGACGCUGAGGCACGAAAGUGCGGGUAUCAAACAGGAUUAGAUACCCGAGUAGUC